rnacentral:rRNA from 1 species
AGUUCGGAUUGGAGUCUGNAACCCGACUCCAUGAAGCUGGAUUCGCUAGUAAUCGCGCAUCAGCCACGGCGCGGUGAAUACGUUCCCGGGCCUUGUACACACCGCCCGUCAAGCCAUGGAAGCCGGGGGUGCCUGAAGUGCGCUGCCGCAAGGAGCGCCCUAGGGUAAAACCGGUGACUGGGGCUAAGUCGUAACAAGGUACC